rnacentral:rRNA from 1 species
GACGAACGCUGGCGGCGUGCCUAAUACAUGCAAGUAGAACGCUGAAGAGAGGAGCUUGCUCUUCUUGGAUGAGUUGCGAACGGGUGAGUAACGCGUAGGUAACCUGCCUGGUAGUGGGGGAUAACUAUUGGAAACGAUAGCUAAUACCGCAUAAUAGCAGUUAUUGCAUGAUAACUGUUUGAAAGGUGCAAAUGCAUCACUACCAGAUGGACCUGCGUUGUAUUAGCUAGUUGGUGAGGUAACGGCUCACCAAGGCGACGAUACAUAGCCGACCUGAGAGGGUGAUCGGCCACACUGGGACUGAGACACGGCCCAGACUCCUACGGGAGGCAGCAGUAGGGAAUCUUCGGCAAUGGACGGAAGUCUGACCGAGCAACGCCGCGUGAGUGAAGAAGGUUUUCGGAUCGUAAAGCUCUGUUGUAAGAGAAGAACGAGUGUGAGAGUGGAAAGUUCACACUGUGACGGUAUCU